UACGGGGGGGGCAAGCGUUGUUCGGAAUUACUGGGCGUAAAGGGCUCGUAGGUGGCCAACUAAGUCAGACGUGAAAUCCCUCGGCUUAACCGGGGAACUGCGUCUGAUACUGGAUGGCUUGAGUUUGGGAGAGGGACGCGGAAUUCCAGGUGUAGCGGUGAAAUGCGUAGAUAUCGUGGAGAACACCCGUGGCGAAGGCGGGCUUCUGGUUGACUUCUGACGCUGAGGUGCGAAAGCUAGGGGAGCGAACGGG
rnacentral:rRNA from 1 species